GUGGGCUCCCAUGAGCUUCAGAAGGAAUGAAAGGAGAAAACAAUUAAUUCUUCUCUGGAAAAGAUGAUCUGUGGUCCAGAUAAUCCUGGAUCUUGGCUGACCCACCUGAUGAUGCUGAACAGUAACAGGUAGAUUCUUUGCUUUGUGCCGAAAAUUAAAGGUGGCAUGAGCUCACAGGAGAAAACCAGAAGAGAAAUUCCAGGGAAAAGCUAAAGGUGUUUUUCCAGGUAAGUUGUUUUCCCCUGCCUCUCCACACCACUAAUCUGAGGUCAGGUUUGAUAUGAGUCGGUAAAUUCAUUAGGUUUGGCCAGAAGGUGGAAGAAUUGGGAGAAAACUUGGGAAAUUAUAUAAUUAUUGGGACUGUUAAAUGUUCUCUUUUGCAUGAGGACUCGGGUGGAUCCUUGCUUGACUUCCGUGGCACUCUCAGGUACGUCAGGUAUUCUGCCUUUGACCGAGAUAUGGCAUUGCCAUAGUUUCCUUUUCUACACUCAGCCAACAGAGCUUGCUGGAGAAAAGUUACUAAACUCAAAAUCAUCCAUUUCAUUUAGACAAAGUCUUCUUCUUAGACUAGUUUGGUGAGUAUUUACCCCACCUUCCUUUAGGAAUAUCUUAUUUCUGUAGAGUUUGCCAGCUUCCAAGCAAAACCUUCAGCUAUUUUACCCUGCUAAUCUAUUUGACAUGCUUACAAAUGUCUGAAAUUUUGUCACACCCAAUUCAGGCUGACCUCUGGAACUCCUGCCCCCAAUAUUUAGUAAGUUAAACUAUACUCAAAAAAACUAGUUAAUUGGCUCCCUCAGGGACACACAGAAAAUCAGAUAGUCCUCUGCUUCUGAUUCACUGAGGAGCACUUUGUGUAGUCACUCAUCCACUUGCAGAAAGCUGGAAAAUUAUUACCAUGUGGGCAGAAAGAAGUAAGAAUUACAUUUACUUGUUAUAGCAUGGGUGACUAAUUUAAAUGCCUUCAGGGACCAGGCAGGUGACAAAAGCGCCGGAGCUGGCAAGUGAAACUCAAUAGGUAGUAGUGGUGAGACGUAUUACGGACUUAUGCCACCUUAAUGUGUUCAAAAUUUUAAAAAUUGUAUUGAGUGGACCCUAAAAUAUGUCUGUGGACCAAAUGUGCCUCAAAAACUGAGGUACUUAACCUUUCUGAGGAUAAAAAUGAUAUGAGGUCCUGAGGUGAGGGAGUGUUAAAUGAGACUUAGUGUCUGGCAAAUAGUAAGCCCUCUGUAAUGUCAUCUCUUAUUAUCAAAUAAGAAUUCUUCCUUUGCUCAUUGGAAAUACAGUCUUUACAUGCAUUACAUUUUCACAUGAACUAGAAUAUUUCACUGAUCUCUGUCAAUGAAUUCGUUCAUUCAACAGUAUUUCUUAGCAGCUAAUACAUGCCAGACUUUGUCCUAGUGAUACCAGCUCAACACAAGUUUGACAUGAGGGAAGCCAUAUUGUGGAAAAGAAACCAUAUUGUAACUUUAAAUGACCUCUGAUUAACUAGCCCAGACAUGCUCUGUAGAUUUUGUGGCCCCUCCCAGAUGCUUUAAGAUGAUAACUUUGUUCUUUUGAGUUCUCUAGGAAUGUGAUGAGCCCUGGGCAGAGAGCCUGUGCUGAUAGCCAUCAUCAAUGACAACUGAAAGAUCAGGGUAUAGGGCAUUGCUCCAUUCUCUGAUGCAUAUCCAGUAAAACCAAGGACUAUCAGGAACUGGGACCAGAUGUCUGCCCCACCCAGAGACCAGCCACCUCCCCCACCUGGAGACCAGCCCUAUGUAUAACUGGCCUGUAGUCUUUGUUCUGUAACAUGGUUCUUUUGGACAUGAGUUGGCCAUCUUCCCUCUUGCUAGUAAGCUGUAAUAAAGAAACCCUUUCUCUCCUACCACCUUCCCGCCUGACUAUUGGCCUGUCUUGCAAUGAGCAGAGGAC
rnacentral:lncRNA from 1 species